rnacentral:rRNA from 1 species
AAUACGUNCUACUNUUUGCGGCGGAUGACUACUCUCGUGUGUUGAUGAAGAACACNCUAGCUGCUAGAAGAAAUGUUAAUUGNUGAACCACCUUGUAACAUCNUCAUCUUGUCGCACAUNGUGGCUCCUGGUUACUACUGAGGCCACCNCUGU